CUUGGCUUCUAUGGGAGCUAUCGGGAAAAUUCCAACGGUUUUGUCUUAGUUUCGUCCUUCUAAAUCCAACGAGACCAUCCGCAAGGUCGUAGCUUCCAUAUUAGCUGAGAUCUCGCAUUUUUGUAGCCCAUUUUUGGGCUCAAAAACGGGGUAAAAAAUUGACUUUUUUCCGAAUUUUCAAAGAGCUAUAAUUCCACUUGUUCUGGUCGAAUUCCGUUAUAACCCGGUGUUUUCGUAAUGUAGGUGAUGGGAAUAAGCCGCUGAUAGGGGUUUCUAAAGCAAUUUUUGGGUUUAAAGAAAAUCGAUUUUUCGCAUUUUCAAAGUGCUAUAAUUCCCUUAGUUUUUAUCGAAACUCAUUAUAACCCGGUGUUUUCGUGUUGUAGGUGAUGGGAACAAGCCGCUGGUAUAGUUAAUUCAAAUUCGAAAAAAAUCAAUUUUUGGUGAAAAAUUCGAUACGGGGGGGUAUACCCGA